AUUCCGUGAUGAGGGUACUUCUGAAAUAAUUCUUUAUACCUUUCCUGUGCCUCAUACAUGGACUCAUCAUCCAUUUGUUGGAAGGCAGUGAUCUCAUUUCUCAACUU